AUUGAACGCUGGCGGCAUGCCUUACACAUGCAAGUCGAACGGUAACGCGGGGGCAACCCUGGCGACGAGUGGCGAACGGGUGAGUAAUACAUCGGAACGUACCCAGUAGUGGGGGAUAGCUCGGCGAAAGCCGGAUUAAUACCGCAUACGACCUAUGGGUGAAAGCGGGGGAUCGCAAGACCUCGCGCUAUUGGAGCGGCCGAUGUCGGAUUAGCUAGUUGGUGAGGUAAAGGCUCACCAAGGCUACGAUCCGUAGCUGGUCUGAGAGGACGACCAGCCACACUGGGACUGAGACACGGCCCAGACUCCUACGGGAGGCAGCAGUGGGGAAUUUUGGACAAUGGGCGCAAGCCUGAUCCAGCCAUGCCGCGUGUGUGAGGAAGGCCUGG
rnacentral:rRNA from 1 species